rnacentral:rRNA from 1 species
GACGUAGGGCGCGAGCGUUGUCCGGAUUUAUUGGGCGUAAAGAGCUCGUAGGCGGUUUGUCGCGUCGUCCGUGAAAACUCACAGCUUAACUGUGAGCUUGCGGUCGAUACGGGCAGGCUAGAGUUCGGUAGGGGAGACUGGAAUUCCUGGUGUAGCGGUGAAAUGCGCAGAUAUCAGGAAGAACACCCGUGGCGAAGGCGGCUCUCUGGGACGGUACUGACGCUGAGACGCGAAAGCGUGGGGAGCGAACAGG